UACGUAGGUGGCGAGCGUUGUCCGGAUUUACUGGGCGAAAGGGCGUGCAGGCGGUUUGUUAAGUGCAGGGUGAAAGCUCCCGGCUCAACUGGGAGAGGUCCUUGCAUACUGGCGAACUCGAGGGAGGCAGAGGAAAGUGGAAUUCCCGGUGUAGCGGUGAAAUGCGUAGAUAUCCGGAGGAACACCAGUGGCGAAAGCGGCCACCUGGACUGCACCUGACGCUGACACGCGAAAGCUAGGGGAGCGAACGGG
rnacentral:rRNA from 1 species